rnacentral:rRNA from 1 species
UACGUAGGGUGCAAGCGUUAAUCGGAAUUACUGGGCGUAAAGCGUGCGCAGGCGGUUUUGUAAGUCUGAUGUGAAAUCCCCCGGGCUCAACCUGGGAAUUGCAUUGGAGACUGCAAGGCUAGAAUCUGGCAGAGGGGGGUAGAAUUCCACGUGUAGCAGUGAAAUGCGUAGAUAUGUGGAGGAACACCGAUGGCGAAGGCAGCCCCCUGGGUCAAGAUUGACGCUCAUGCACGAAAGGCGUGGG